CAAAACAGAGAAUUAAACAGAUUCUACAAUGUCAGGUGUCCUUCUUUUCAGUAGAUGAAUAGCCUUGAGUCUAAAAGAGACAAAACUGAUUAAGCAAUUGAAUAUGCAUAGCCAAAUUUAAGAAGCAGAAUGGAAAGACAGAUUGAGGAAAGAAGCCAAGUCCAGACACUGUUCUUAAGGGGUUGAAGUAUGAAUUGUAACCAGCUAAGUCUUCAACCUGCUUAUUCAUAGAGGUUAUCUAUAAGUCUCAUUUUUAUUGUUUUUAGAUCUUUCUCCACCUAAUGUAAAUUAUUUGUCUAAAUACAAGGAAUUUAAAGACUCUUAUUGAGCUUUUAUAGCUGUCAUUGUGACUUAUUGGCCUCAUUAAACUAUAAUAGUGAUAAGCUAUAGGUGUAGGGGGAGACAGUUAGCAGGGGUCAGUGUAGUCAUUGGAGUGCCCUUUUUAUAUCUAGCCUACAUUAUUAGCAUUUUAAUAUUUUUGUUAAACUUUCUUCCUGGGUGUUUAAGAUCAAAUUAAGGUGAGAUUUGUGUUAAUCAAAAUUAAUCUCUCUCUCUCUCUCUCUCUCUGUCUGUCUCUCAUUAAGGCUCCUCCUCAGAGAUUAUUUUUGGGACCAUGUAAAGAGUCUCUUAUCUCCUCUGUCAGUGUAACCUGCCAGGAUGGGUCAUGGUCUUGCCUGACUAUAAGGCUUCCCAGUGAAGUACAGGAGGUGAUUCCCUCUUUGGUGACUCUCCUUUAUAGCACCAUGUCCUCUGGGGUCCAACAAUCUCCCUGCUCAGGAAGUUUGGUGACUUAUCAGACUUGUAGAAUCCUUUUGGAGAAGUCCCCUCAUGUCUUGUGUCCUUGAUUGCCUUGGAGGGCCAGGGCCAGCCAAAAUAUUGGUUGUCCUCUUAGCCUAGUUAUCUUUUAAGAUUUGGCCUCUAAGCCUUAAUUGCUGAACACACAGAAGGUCAGUUCCACCAGUACUGACGUGGAAGGAGUAGGUUUAGCUAUCAUAAUUUUUUUAUCUGAAUAUCAAGCACUUUGAAAUGUAAAGUAUAGCCAGAAAACUGGUGGGGGUUUUGUUUUAUUUUGUUUUGUUUUGCUUUUUACCAAUCAUGUUUGUCUUAAAAGUCCAAUUCCCAUAGAAUGUUAACAGAUAACAGUUACAGAGUUUUCCAGGGAAAUUUUGAAAUCAAGGGCAAAGUAACAUUUUAACACAACAAUUAUGUGACAUUAUUUUAUUAGAACCAUAAGGCUUUUUAUUUCUGAAAAUAUAUGUAAAUUCUUAUUUUAGUAUAAAAUAACUUUUUAGUCACUUACCUUUAUCUAAUUUCAAAAUAUUAAGUGACAUAAAGAAGUUUUUACCUAAAUUUGUUAUCUUUUUUUUUUUUUUGGUACCGGGGUACCGGGGAUUGAACUCCGGUCCUUGUGCGUGCGCAGCAGGUGGUGAAACCACUGAGCCAAAUCCCUGGCCCUAAAUUUGUUAUAUUUUAAAAGUGCCAUUUAAGUAGAAUGUACUUCUUUAUAGAUGUACUUUAUAGGUUAAUAAUGUCCAUUCUUAAAUCUUUGGAGUGUCAUUGCCUGGACUGCAUGUUGUUUAGCCACCUCUGACUAUUGUAACACAAUUGCAUAAUAACCACAUAAACAUAAGCAUGAAAAAUUAUCCAUAUCACCUGGCUGUCUGUCUCAUGUUGGGUUGGUGGGUACAUUUCAUCAAAGUAGCUGGACCACAAGCAAAGGAAAGCCAGAUGAUUAAGUUACAAGUUAACCAUCAAAAACAACUUUAGCUUGGAAGUCAUCAGUACAAUAAGGUGUUUUCUUAAGUUUUGUAUCUUUGAAGGCCUGUACACUUGAGAAACACAAAUACAUCUAAUAUACCAUCAGGUCAGCGCUAAUAAGCUUUACAGGUACAUAGAUAUCUUUACACAUGUUUACUUAGUUUUUACUCUUAGGAAAAAAUUUAGACACCUUUAAUAAGCUUACUGACAACAAUUAAGGACAUCUUUAGAGCUCUAAUAAAUUUAGGAAACAGGGCUGGGGAUGUAGCUCAGCAGCACUGUGCCUGCCUGACAAGCGCAAGGUCCUGAAUUCAAUCCCCAGUGUUGGGAGCAACGCUACGUAAUUUUAGGGUAAAAUCAUUUGGUUAGCCUAGUUCUCCUGCCUACAACCCAGCUAUGGAAUUCUGAGACAUAAUUCCAUUUUGGCCUCCGGUCACAACUGAGACCUCAAUGAUCUGGUGAUGCUGUGAUGCUCCAGGACAAGAUUACACCAGCGGGAGACAUCCUGAGAGGAACAAAGUCUUCAUCUACUCAGUUCUUCAUUGUUCUUGGAUUGUUACAUCAUGUUUACAGGGAUGUGCUGAACUCUCUGCAAGCCAAACACCAGGGGUGAAAUUAAGUCAACCUUACCUGAGCAGCCACCCAGAAUUGCCAUUUACAGAGCCUGUGAAUGCUGUGGAGAGAUGACAUUGACUUGGUGUUGGGAGAACCAAGCAGGCAGGCAUGGUUAUACAUGGUGAGAUGACAGCUCUGCAGUUUCCAGAUGCAAGUAUCCAGCAGCCAUGGAUGGCAACAUCAGAAACCCUGGGACAAACACCAUAUACUCGAUGUCAACAGUCAUUUUCAUCCACUACAACUGAUGUCUAUCAGAUUCCAACAUGCAACUCAUUUCUAAUUAAUUGAGCAGAGGUCAACCAGAUAGGCAGCUGUCCUGUCACCACUUAACUUAGAGUUGAUGCUUUCUUCAUUGAACAGAAAUACCCCUGUUCCAAGUGUUACGAAUUUCAGAAAUGGGGGGAAUAUAUAUUUAACACAGUAAGAGAGGGGAGAAUUAUGAUGAAAGGUGGAUUAAAGUGUAUAUUCUGUGGCAAUGUUGUCCCACAAACUCAAAACCCUGAAUGAAUCUAAAUGUUGAGCGUCUUUGGUUCUAGGUGUUGGGAGCCAGAGGUCCUCCUGCUUAUAGGGUCCUUGUGCUAUCUGAGGAGGCAGAACCUCAGGAGCCCAUCUGCACCAUCACCAGGUCCUUGGGAUCCCUGGGCCCACAGACUUUUGAGAGGCACUGCUUGGGGCACAAAGAGAGCGGGCUGUGAGGGCAGCAGGCUUAGAUGGGCAGAGGAUGAGGCUUGGGUCCACCUGUACUCCAGCUCUGGGCACAGGCUCUUGCAUUUGAAUCUGUCCCCCAUUGUUGCUGCUAGGGCCACCCAAGCAAGGCACAGUUCUUCCUCAUUGCUAGGGGAAGGGCUACUUCAGGACCUACUUUACAAAUUGUCCUGGAGAUGGCAGGAAGCCCCUGGUGCAUAGUAUGUCCCCAGUAAAUGUUAGAGAUUUCUAUCCAAGCUGCCUUCCUUGGCACUACUCUUGGGUCUAUGAGGGGCAGUUUUUCAUCAGCUCAGGUCCAGAUUUGCCCUUGCAAAACACACUAGUUCGAUGCCUGAAAUCUCUUUACCCUAAAGUGACCUUUGGAAGGAGAAUCUGGCAACGCAUUUUUGAGAAAAAUUUUAUUUGUAGACCAUUGUAGAUUCCCAUGCAGUUGUAAGAGGUGUAAUCAAAACAUACAGUGAAUGUUUAAAUUUUAAAAAUGUAUUACGGUACAAGACACACUGCAGUUGAUCCUCCUCAAAAUACUCUCCCUCACUUUGAAGGUAGUUAUUCCAUUGUUCUUAAUACUUUCUGAAGCAGUUCUAGAAAUAUUUUUUCCUGGGUGCUUUUAUGAGUGAUGACAAAAAAAAAAAGAUGGUGACUGCUGCUGCCAAGUGCCAUCCAAGAGAAAGGCAGGCUUGUAAAAGCAUGAUGGUGUGUCCUCAUCCACCUUGUUCACUAACCUAACACCAUAGAACUUCCGCUCUUCCCCAAAGAUAAACUUUCUAAAUUAAUUCAGGACCUCAAGCCAGCUAUGACAGUGCAACUAAAGACACAAAAGAGGACUUCCAGAGCUGCUCCAGAAAGUGGCAAGUACUGUGGGAUAAGCCUGUUCAAAGCGAGGGGAAGUAUUUCGAGGAGGAUCAAUGGCAGUGUUCUUUUAUUGGAAUAAACUUUUAAACACUUAAACAUUCUCUUUAUUUUUUGACCAUAGUACAUACUCUGUUAGGAAGUUCAAAGGUGCCUUGUAAGUUGUGAGAAAGAUUAUGCCCUUCCUCAGCCUCCCUCAAUGGAGACAUCUUCUAAAGCAAUAGUGUGCAAGAUUAAAAUUGGGUAUUAAUGUUGAUACCACCUACUGAUCUUAUUUCGGGUUUCUCCAGUGUCACUUGCACGUGUGUGUUAACUUCAGUGCAGUGUUCUGACAUGCCCUUGUCACGUACAUGUACAGCCACACUUAUUAAAUAGUUUGUCCAAACAUGAGACUUCCAUGAUUUUCAGGGGCCCUGCCUCAAUGUACUCCUGUGCUAAUCAAAAAGAAAAGAUCAAUAGAUACACAAGUUUACAUAUCACAUUGUUUCUCUUGUGUGAGAAACCCAAAGGGAAAAUAAGGACCAAAAUGGAUGACAGAUACUGGGAAAUAGGAAGAAAAUGUUCAAAUGGGAAGGGGAACAAGGGAUGGGGGAGAGAAAUGGAAGAAAGGAAAAAGGAAAAAAUGGAAACAAAACUUUUGUAAAUGGGAGGGGGAGAAGGGUUGAAGGGAGAGGAGGAGAAUGGGGCAAAAAAGAAGAAUCAAGACACAUCGUGUACAGGUACAAAAUCCCUGUGAUGAAUGUAAUCAAUAUACAUGACAAAUGUGUACAAGUGAAAAAUGUAAUCAAUAUACAUGACAAAUGUGUACAAAUGAAAAAUAAAGUUUAAGAAUAGAUUGUUUAAGCAGAAAAACAAAAUGAAGAACAAAAAAAGAUUGAUAAAGCAAGUAGAUAAAGUGAACAACAUUAAACUCAGGGAAGGACCAUC
rnacentral:lncRNA from 1 species